UGUGUGACAGUUUCUCACUGUGAUACGUACUUUCGUGGUAUAUAGAGACACAGUGAUUCACAGUAAGACAAAAACCUCUCAACAAAACCCAGAUUAUUAUCCAUUAAUCUGCUGAGGAAACAGAAUUAAAACAUGUUCGCCACUAGAACAUCAGAUAAGUUCUUUGUGUGGUUAUUUUAUUAAGCUGCUGAUGUUUAAAGGUCAUUCAUCUACUGUUUAAAGUCACAGUGGACAUGUGCUAAUUACUGUUUCUUCUUUAUAAUAUAAUCGAGGAUGAAACAAAUAUGUUCUUAUAAAUCAGAACACAACCGUUUUUUUUUACAUUUUCAGCAGUUGUUUGUAUUUCAAGUAUUUGUUGGGUUUAUUUGGACUUUUUCAGCUGUUUCGUGUUUUUGUUGAAGUACUCAGAGAAGAGGUAACACUGUGGUGCUUUAGACAACUGGGGAAAAGGAACGGAGGUUACUGUUCAACCUGAUGGGCCCUCUAAGGCUCCGACCCUGUUCGUCUUCAGCCCCCUGCGGGGUCACGAUUUCCCUCUGAAGAAAGCAGAGCAGCUCGGUCCAGAAGUCUGUCUGGUCUCCAACAUCCAUCCAAAGGGGGGCAACGUGGUUCUGAACCAGAGGGGAGCGCCGGUCACCAAGAGCACUGAUGCUACAGUUUAUUCCACCACAACCAGAACCUACUACUCUGCUGAUGCUGCAUGCGGGAACAUUUAUCCAG